AGCCUUGCCAAGAAGAAACCAAGCCCUGAGAAUCUAUAAAACAGGCAGUUUGGGUCAAAGCAUCCAUGUGACGCUCAUAUAUCUGGAUGAGAGAGACGGCGAGUGGGACUAUCAUCACCUGGCUACAGAGAGCCCCCCCAGUCUGUUACGCUGAGUUGCCGGCUGAUCUUCAGCAAUGAAGAUCCUUUAUCUGCUGUUUGCGGUUUUCCUUCUAGUGCUCCAGGGUGCACCAGCAUUCUCCCAGGCUAAUAAUCCCUACCUGCAAUGUAGACUCCGUGGGGGUAAUUGUUACUUUAGGAGCUGUCUCUUCAAUUCUAAAAUCAUCGGCUUGUGUGCUAGACAUCAUUUCUGCUGUCAAAGGCGACUUUCUGACUGAUUGUCUAGGCAGGAUCUCUGGGAAUCUGGGAGACAGCCACUUGCUUCUAAAAUCAUCAGAUCCUGCUUCAAUGGAACACUGGCGUGCUGUUUAUUUGGGCUGUAAAAAAUCUUGUGAGUUGGAGAAAUUCCAGAAGGGAUCCAUUGUAUCACUCAUAUAAGAUUUGUUACUCUCCUUUUAAUAAAAGCAAGUUGGUUUCAGAUAAUAUUGCUGAAGUGUGUAUGGGUGGGAGGCAAGGGGGCUGUUUCUGUCAUUCAUCUCCUUUAGAAUUCCAACUUGUUUAUUUUUUAAAUUUAAAAUAAAAUAAAAUUCCCUAAAAA